AAAUAGUGAUAAGAGCAAAGAUGUACUGAUAGAUUCAGAAGCCGGUUUGAAUAGGACGAUUGAGGGAGAUCUUGGGGGUUUAUUAUUGACUGAUAGAAGGUAUGGUCAUGGGAGAUCGAGUGUCAGGGUGUAUGGUGGCAAGUCAUAUGGGAGUUCCAGAAGGUAUGAUGUGCGAAAAAUGUUGAAGCAGAGGGAUAAUAGCUUUGCAUGGAUUAAAAAGGGGGAGUCUUCAAAUGGCAAUGUUGCUGAAAUUGAAACGCAGGGUUGAUUUUUUCAAGCCAAAGCACAAGUUGGAGUAUGCUGUGCUCUCAGUCAAUCAAGUCAGUUUCCUUACAGAAGUGGCUUCUUAUUCAUUAAUUUCACCAAUGCGACUUAACUUCUCAUUGGAAUUCAAACAACUUGUAAAUUCGUCAGUAGAUG
rnacentral:misc_RNA from 1 species